rnacentral:snoRNA from 1 species
UCAUCAAGUGGGAUUAUGAUAAUCCUCAUCUGUUCUUCCUUUUGGAGGGCAAAUUAGAAUGUAAUGCGUAAUUAGCGUCUCUGCAUAAUCAGGACUUGCAACACGCUGAUUGCUUCUGUCUGAU